CCUUGCUCGACCCCGCCAUUCGUGCUCCAGCCGCCGAGACGUGACCUCGCCUCCGUUGCUCCUGACCUUUCCUUGGCGUUGUUCCAGCAAAUAUCUUGAGAAAAUGAAGGUUUUUCUGACACUGUUCUUCGUCGCCUUGCUGGCUGCCUGUGGGUUGGCGGCGCCCAUGAUGUCCAGUGCUGUGGAAGAUGGCGCUUUCACUCGCGGAUUCCGAGAGAACGCCGGCCUCCCUCCAGCAGACGAUUACUCCAUCACCAUCGAAUACGCUUUUCCCAUCUAUUCUUUCCACAUUCCUUUCAAAUUCGCUAGUUAAAAGUGUAGUUUUGUGAUGUUUUACCCCAUUUUUCAACCUAUUUGGAAAAGUGUGGGACAUGUAGUAUAAACACGAGAACAUGUUUGUAAAAUGUGUUGAAAGAUUUCGCCGAUAGAUGUCACUGAAGAUCAUGUUGGAUGUCUUUGUAUAAGAAGUGGAAUUCGACUUUUCAAAUAAGGGAUGUGAUCCUCUUUUGUGCUGUAUGAAUGUAUUUAUUGGUUCCUCUUAUUGUUUAUUAUUUAUUUUGUAAUUAAACUGUUAAAAUGUA